AUACGAAGGGGGCUAGCGUUGUUCGGAUUUACUGGGCGUAAAGCGCGCGUAGGCGGAUUGAUCAGUUAGGGGUGAAAUCCCGAGGCUCAACCUCGGAACUGCCUUUAAUACUGUCAGUCUAGAGACCGGAAGAGGUGAGUGGAACUCCUAGUGUAGAGGUGGAAUUCGUAGAUAUUAGGAAGAACACCAGUGGCGAAGGCGGCUCACUGGUCCGGUACUGACGCUGAGGUGCGAAAGCGUGGGGAGCGAACAGGAUUAGAAACCCGAGUAGUCC
rnacentral:rRNA from 1 species